UGUGAAAAGGUCACGUCAUCACUUCAAGGAUGCCUUUGGAAAUUCGCAGCCAGAACAUGCCAUCACUCUCACAGGUGCAACAAGGACCUCCAGCUGCUGCAGCUGCAUACAGCACGGUCCCAGCUGCAUAUUCUUCUUCUAUCUACCUGCAGCACCUCCUGCGGUAUGAUGAUGUGGACAGGGAGGACCUGUAUCGAGAGUCACGGAAGCGAACAGGAGACAAAGGCAGCAGCUGUCUUCCGAAGAAAAGGAAAACACAGUAAAGCGGUGAUGGAAUGAAUUAUCAGCUGUACAAAAUCUGGAAUCGAGCAUCGCAUAGAUUAGUUAGUUUUUUUUUAAAGUUACAAAUGAUAAAUGAUAAUAGAACCUGUUGCAGAUGUAAAUGUAUCAAGAGCUUCUGAAUCUAUUAUUUAAUAUAUUGGAAAAAGACCAUCUCAGGCAUAUUCUGUGAAAGUUAGCCUUUUAUGAGGCAAAACAGCAAUAAGUACUAAUUAGCAAAAACAGUGUAAUGAUAGCAUUGGGCACGAAGUUUGUUUUAAAACAUUUGAAUUUUAGUUCUGAGUCAACUCUAAUUUUUCUAAAACAUGUAAAAUGUUCAUUAGUUGGCCCCAACAUUUGAAGAAAGUCCUUUUCUUCCUGGUUGUUACAAUUUUUCCAUGUCAAUGCAGUGGUGUCAUCAAAAAUUCAUUGAAUCACAGACCAGCCUGGAAUGUUGACUUCAUGUUGCAUUGUAGUAUUUGGGACUAUCAUAGGAUAUCUAGACCUGUUUUUCCCCUGUCGGUUCAUAUUUUUCUACAAAUAUCCAAGAACCAACUAUUUAAAUUGGUGUGACCUAAU